GAUGAAGAACGUAGCGAAAUGCGAUAAGUAAUGCGAAUUGCAGAAUUUCCGUGAGUCAUCGAAUCUUUGAACGCACAUUGCGCCCACUGGUAUUCCGGUGGGCAUGCCUGUUCGAGCGUCAUUAUCCUCCCUCAAACCCCGGGUUUGGUGUUGGACCCAAGUUGUGUGAACAACUGGUCUCAAAGACAAUGACGGCGUCCGUGGGACCCUCGGUGCAACGAGCUUUUAGGAGCACGCAUCGAGUUGCAAGGACCUUCCGGGCAGGUCUCCUUUACCAUUUUACAAGGUUGACCUCGGAUCAGGUAGGAAUACCCGCUGAACUUAAGCAUAUCAAUAAGCGGAGGA
rnacentral:misc_RNA from 1 species